AUUGCUUCUCUGCCUUUUGGCUAAGAUCAAGUGUAGUAUCUUCUUUUCAGUUUAAUAUCUGAUACGUCCCCCAUCGGUGGACUACAUAUUAAAUGCUCCUGAGUGGCGCAGCGGUCUAAGGGACUGCAUCUCAG
ensembl:snRNA U2 U2 spliceosomal RNA